rnacentral:rRNA from 1 species
GGAUGGCCCCAGUAACGGCGAGUGAAGCGGCCACAGCCCAAAUUUGAAAUCUGGCCCGGCCCCGGGUCCGAGUUGUAAUUUGGAGAGGAUGCUUUGGCGGUGGCCCCGGGGCAAGUUCCCUGGAACCGGAUGCCGCAGAGGGUGAGAGCCCCGUACCCGCCCGGGUGCCCGCCGCCGGACAAAGCGCCUUCGACGAGUCGAGUUGUUUGGGAAUGCAGCUCCAAGCGGGAGGUAAAUUUCUUCCAAGGCUAAAUACCGGCCAGAGACCGAUAGCGCACAAGUAGAGUGAUCGAAAGAUGAAAAGCACUUUGGAAAGAGAGUCAAAUAGCACGUGAAAUUGUUGAAAGGGAAGCUCUUGCUGCCAGACGUGCCGCGGGUGCUCAGCGCUCCCUCGGGGGCGUGUACUCGCCCGCGGCGGGCCAGCGUCGGUUCGGGCGGCCAGACAAAGGCCUGGGGAACGUAGCUCGCCUCGGCGAGUGUUACAGCCCUGGGUGCCAUGCGGCCUGCCCGGACCGAGGCCCGCGUUCGCUCGGACGCUGGCGUAAUGGUCGCAAGCGACCCGUCUUGAAACACGGACCAAGGAGUCUAACAUCUGUGCGAGUGUGCGGGUGUCAAACCCGUGCGCGGAAUGAAAGUGAACGGAGGUGGGACGCCGCACGGCCGCACCAUCGACCGAUCCUGAUGUCCUCGGAUGGAUUUGAGUAGGAGCAUAGCUGUUGGGACCCGAAAGAUGGUGAACUAUGCGUGUCUAGGGUGAAGCCAGAGGAAACUCUGGUGGAGGCUCGCAGCGGUUCUGACGUGCAAAUCGAUCGUCAAAGAUGCGUAUAGGGGCGAAAGACCAAUCGAACCAU